AUGAACGCUGGCGGCGUGCCUAAUACAUGCAAGUCGAGCGAACGGACGAGAAGCUUGCUUCUCUGAUGUUAGCGGCGGACGGGUGAGUAACACGUGGAUAACCUACCUAUAAGACUGGGAUAACUUCGGGAAACCGUAGCUAAUACCGGAUAAUAUUUUGAACCGCAUGGUUCAAAAGUGAAAGACGGUCUUGCUGUCACUUAUAGAUGGAUCCGCGCUGCAUUAGCUAGUUGGUAAGGUAACGGCUUACCAAGGCAACGGUGCAUAGCCGACCUGAGAGGGUGAUCGGGCAGACUGGAACUGAGACACGGUCCAGACUCCUACGGGAGGCAGCAGUAGGGAAUCUUCCGCGAUGGGCGAAAGCCUGACGGAGCAACGCCGCGUGAGUGAUGAAGGUCUUCGGAUCGUAAGACUCUGUUAUUAGGGAAGAACAUAUGUGUAAGUAACUGUGCACAUCUUGACGGUACCUAAGCAGAAAGCCACGGCUAACUACGUG
rnacentral:rRNA from 1 species